UACGAAGGGGGCGAGCGUUAUUCGGAAUCACUGGGCGUAAAGCGUGCGUAGGCUGUUUGGCAAGUUGGAAGUGAAAGCCCAGGGCUCAACCCUGGAAUUGCUUUCAAAACUGCCAGACUCGAGUCCGGGAGAGGAUAGCGGAAUUUCCAGUGUAGUAGUGAAAUACGUAGAUAUUGGAAGGAACACCAGUGGCGCAAGCGACUAUCUGGACCGGUACUGACGCUGAGGCACGAAAGUGUGGGGAUCAAACAGG
rnacentral:rRNA from 1 species